UGAUACUAAGCCAUGCGUGUCAUUGCAGUAAUGCAAGGCAGACGGCUCAGUAACGCGUAGUCAACCUACCCUAUGGACGGGAAUAACCUCGGGAAACUGAGUAUAAUGCCCGAUAGAACACUAUUCCUGGAAUGGUUUGUGUUCCAAAUGAUUUAUCGCCGUAGGAUGGGACUGCGGCCUAUCAGUUUGUUGGUGAGGUAAUGGCCCACCAAGACUAUUACAGGUACGGGCUCUGAGAGGAGUAGCCCGGAGAUGGGUACUGAGACACGGACCCAGGCCCUAUGGGGCGCAGCAGGCGAGAAAACUUUGCAAUGUGCGAAAGCACGACAAGGUUAAUCCGAGUGGUUUGUGCUAAACGAACCUUUUGACAGUCCUAGAAACACUGUUGAAUAAGGGGUGGGCAAGUUCUGGUGUCAGCCGCCGCGGUAAAACCAGCACCUCAAGUGGUCAGGAUGAUUAUUGGGCCUAAAGCAUCCGUAGCCGGCUCUGUAAGUUUUCGGUUAAAUCUGUACGCUCAACGUACAGGCUGCCGGGAAUACUGCAGAGCUAGGGAGUGGGAGAGGUAGACGGUACUCGGUAGGAAGGGGUAAAAUCCUUUGAUCUAUUGAUGACCACCUGUGGCGAAGGCGGUCUACCAGAACACGUCCGACGGUGAGGGAUGAAAGCUGGGGGAGCAAACCGGAUUAGAUACCCGGGUAGUCCCAGCUGUAAACUAUGCAAACUCAGUGAUGCAUUGGCUUGUGGCCAAUGCAGUGCUGCAGGGAAGCCGUUAAGUUUGCCGCCUGGGAAGUACGUACGCAAGUAUGAAACUUAAAGGAAUUGGCGGGGGAGCACCACAAGGGGUGAAGCCUGCGGUUCAAUUGG
rnacentral:rRNA from 1 species